UACGUAGGGGGGCUAGCGUUGUCCGGAUUUAUUGGGCGUAAAGAGCGUGUAGGCGGCCAGGUAGGUCUGCUGUGAAAACUCGAGGCUCAACCUCGAGACGUCGGCGGAAACCAUCUGGCUAGAGUCCGGAAGAGGAGAGUGGAAUUCCUGGUGUAGCGGUGAAAUGCGCAGAUAUCAGGAAGAACACCCGUGGCGAAGGCGGCUCUCUGGGACGGUACUGACGCUGAGACGCGAAAAGCGUGGGGAGCAAACAGG
rnacentral:rRNA from 1 species